rnacentral:rRNA from 1 species
UUGUAGCAAUACAACUGGCGCACGGCGCACGGGUGCGUAACACGUGGGUAACCUGCCCUUUGGUGGGGAAUAACUCCGCGAAAGCGGAGCUAAUUCCGCAUAAGAUCCGCAAGGAUGAAAGCCGCAAGGCGCCGAAGGAGGGGCCCGCGCCCGAUUAGCUAGUUGGUGAGGUAAUGGCUCACCAAGGCUUUGAUCGGUAGCUGGUCUGAGAGGAUGAUCAGCCACACUGGAACUGAGACACGGUCCAGACUCCUACGGGAGGCAGCAGUGGGGAAUCUUGCACAAUGGGCGAAAGCCUGAUGCAGCGACGCCGCGUGGGGGAUGAAGCAUUUCGGUGUGUAAACCCCUUUCGAUCCGGACGAAACCCCGCAAGGGAUUGACGGUACGGAUAUAAGAAGCCCCGGCUAACUACGUGCCAGCAGCCGCGGUAAGACGUAGGGGGCCAGCGUUGUUCGGAAUUACUGGGUGUAAAGGGUUCGUAGGCGGUGCGGCAAGUUGGGAGUGAAAUCUCUGGGCUUAACCCAGAGGCUGCUUCCGAAACUGCUGUGCUUGAGUGUGGGAGAGGCGCGUGGAAUUGCAGGUGUAGCGGUGAAAUGCGUAGAUAUCUGCAGGAACACCCGUGGCGAAAGCGGCGCGCUGGACCACUACUGACGCUGAGGAACGAAAGCUAGGGGAGCAAACAGGAUUAGAUACCCUGGUAGUCCUAGCCCUAAACGAUCAGGACUUGGGGUGCCACCCGUUCGGGUGUCGUCCCGGAGCUAACGCGUUAAGUCCUGCACCUGGGGAGUACGGUCGCAAGACUGAAACUC